UGUCUCUACUAAAAAUACAAAAAAAUUAGCCAGGUGUGGUGGCGUGCGCCUGUAAUCCCAGCUACUUGGAAGACUGAGGCAGGAGAAUUACUGGAACCUAGGAAGUUUAGGUUGCAGUGAGCUGAGAUCGCCCCACUGCACUCCAGCCUGGGCGACAAGAGUGAGACUCUGUGAAAGGAGAGGAGAGGAGAAGGGAGGGGAGGGGGAAAGAAACAACGUUCUAGUGCUAUAAGCAAAGUAACUGAGGUAAAAUACAGGAAGGAAAAAAUAGAAGCUGUUUGUCAGAGAUAUAAUUGUAUUAGAAAAGUCAAGAGAGGCAACUAAAAACCAUUAGAAUUGGUAAGAGAGGUCACUAUGGUAGCAAUAUUGGAUAAAUGUAAAAGGUAUGAUUGACAAUGAUACAAACAGGCACUUGUUUUAUUUUUCUUUAUAAAUAUCAACUUUCCUUUGCAAACUGAACUCCUAACUCUAACCCUAUGCUAGCAAGGGUGGGUGGAGGAUGGUGAGGAAGACUAAGCGUUGCCCAGGAAUGUCUCUUCUGCUACAUGUAAUGAUUUUGUUCAGCAUGGUGGUGAUUACCUAUAGAGGUGCAGAGGGGAUGGUGAAGGGGAGAGCAAGGGCCACAGUCUCCCUGUUACACUCUCUCCUCUGUUCGGUGGGUCAAAGCUCUCAGCAGGAGACUAGACCAAAAUAAUGUAUGGUCUGCAGGCUAGGCUGUGCCCCUGGGCUAUGAUCUUUCCUCCACUGGGUUCCUUUCCAUUUUCAUUAAAGAAGAGAGAAAGACAGAGAAGGGAAGGAGGAAAAGAGAAAGUAAUUUUUUAAGAAAGUAAAGAAGGAAUAGUGAAAACAAGCAGAAAAAGAGGGGUACAUAUGUGCAUCCUGGGAACAAAGAAGGAUAUGCUCCCAAAUAUUAAAGUACUUGACUGACUUAGGGAAGGAGAUGUUGAGGGGCAGUAUAGAUGACUCUUACUUUAUGCAAUCCUGUGUUUAAAAAUUUUUACAACAUGGUCUAGCAAUUCCACUCUUAGGAGUAUAGCUAAGGGAAAUGGAAACCUAUGUUCACACAAAAAUGUAUACAUUAAUAUUCACAGAAGCAUUAUUCUUAAUAGCCAAAAAGUGAAAAUAACCCAAAUAGCCAUCAACUGAUGAAUGAAUAAAUAAAAUGUAGUACUUCCAUAUGACAGAAUAUUAUUUGGCAAUAAAAAGAAAUGAUGCCCAGACACUGUGGCUCACACCUGUAAUCCCAGCACUUUGGGAGGCCAAAGUGGGAGGAUCGCUUGAAGCCGGGAGUUCAAGACCAGCCUGGACAACAUAGCAAGAUUUCAUUUCUAUCUUUUCUUUAAAAAAUGAAAUACUAACACAUGCUGAACUGAACAUGGAUGAACCUUGCAAACAUUAUGCUAGGUGAAAGAAGCUAGUCACAAAGGACCACAAUUUAUGAAUCCGUUUUUAUGAAAUGUCCAAAAUAGGCAAAUCUAUGGACAGAAAGUAGAAAGCAGAUUCGUGGUUGCCCAAGACCAAGGAAAUGAGGGCAUUAGGGGAUGAUGGCUAAAGGGUGCAAAGGUUCUUUUUGGGGUAAUGAGAAUAUUCUGGAACUUAUUGUGGUGACGAUUACACAUCUCUGUGAAUAUACUAAAAGCUAUUGAAUUAUACACUUUAAAUGGGUCAGUUGUAUGCUAUGUGAAUCAUAUCUCAAUAAUAAAGUCAUUAACAAAAACUUUGUGAAGAGCAUAUAUAACUUUUAUACUAAUAAACAAGUAGUACUUUUAUCUGUUAAAUGUACAUGUUAUCAUAUGGAUUUGUUAUAUAUUAACAGAUGUCCAAAAAAAAAAAAAAAAACCAGAACUAUCACAAUAUCACAAUAGGAUUCUGCCGUGAGUGCCCUGGAUAAUUUCUCUUCUAAAUAUGCGGUUAUCUAACAAAAGUGGGAGGGAAUACAAUGUAGCAAUGGCAAAAAAAAAAAAAAAAAAAAAAAGGAAAAGAAAAGCAACACACAGUGGUGGACAAAAUGGAGAAUCCAGAAAUAGACACCACUAAAUAUAAAUUCAUUAUAUGAUACUGUAAGCUUUUAAAAACCCUGAGGUGAGGGCAUUUUCUUUGAAUGGUGCUGGAAUAAUUGGAUAGUAAUUUGGGGAAGAAAUUAAAUCAGAUUUCUAUCUUAACAACAUACUGCAAAAAGAAACUCCAGAUGGUUUGAAGUAUUCAAUAUAAAAGUCACAUUAAAUAAAAUCGAAAAGAAAUGAGAAUGGAUUAUUUAUCAAAUCUGUGAAGGAUUGGUAAAUUUCUCAACUCAGAAAGUAUCACUAAAGCCAGACAUUCAAAUAUGCAAAAUUUUUCAUUUCUACACCUUAAAAAUUAAGCAAAAUUAAGAUAAGAAGACAUCAGAUUUAAAAAAUAGGGGAAGCACAGGGGCUAAUGUCUGUAAUCCCACCACUUUGGGAGGCUGAGGAGGGCUGAUCUUUUGAGUUCAGGAGUUCAAGACCAGCCUGGGCAACAUAGCAAAAUCCAGACUCUACAAAAAAAUUUCAAAAUUAGCCAGGCAUGGUGUCACAGACCUGUGGUCCCAACUAUCUGGGGGCUUGAGGUGGGAGAAUCACUUGAAACCAGGAGGUCGAGGCUCCAGAGAGCCAUGAUUGUGCCACUGCACUCCAGCCUGGGUGACGAAGUGAGACCCUGUCUUAAAAAAAAGUACAUUCAUCACAGAUAUGACAAAGGAUUAGUAGGGAAAAAAAGAGUUCAUAGAAAGAUCUUAUUCUAGCUAUUAAAAAGAAGAAGAAGAAGAAAAGAACCCAGUGGAUAAAUGCACAAAAGAACAGACAAUUUGCAUUAGGAGAAUUAAUAGUAAACAGAAAAAUAUUAAAAGGCCCAUAAUUGAUAGUAAUCAAGAAAUGCAAAUUACAGCAGCUGCAUUCUGAAUCCUGGCACUACUGUAUUAACCUACAUGAAGCUUUAGAUUCUGGGCCCUUACUUGCUUCAGCAAAUAGACCUGGUUUCCCUUUCUCUUUCACAGAGCUCAGUUAGUGCCCAAAUAUAAUAACCUCAUUAUCUAUAGGAGGUCAAAAUUAUCUCCCAUUUAUUCUUCCUUUCCCCGCACCUUUAUGACCCAUAUUUUUUCUGGAAAAAAAAAUAGUUAUUGAAUGGCUGGGCUCAGUGGCUCAUGCCUGUAAUCCUAGCACUCUAGGAGGCUGAGGCGGACGGAUCACUUGAGCCCAGGAGUUCAAGACCAGGCUGGGCAACAUGGUGAAACCCUGUCUUCACAUACACACACAAAAAAUACAAAAAUUAGUCAGGCGUGGUGGCAUGUGCCUGUACUCCCAGCUACUCAGGAGGCUGGGGUGGAAGAAUCACCUGGGCCCAGGAGGUGGAGGCUGCAGUGAGCUGUGAUUGCAUCACUGCACUCCAGCCUAGGCGACAGAGCCAAACACUGUCAAAAAAAAAAAAAAAUUGUUGAAAAUAUGUAAAAAUACACUUCUUCCAAUUCUUUUUUUUUUCACAAGCAAGUUCUAAGUCCAUAAUGCAUACAUAUGUGAACUUUUUAACCCAUGAGCUACCAGAUGUCUCAUGAUUCUUGAGACACCUUUUAUCAGACCUAUUAAGUGGCUCUGAUGAGAGGAUAAGAGUGACAUCUUCCAGUACCUUUUCAGCUUUCCCUGACUCCCAGCCCAUGCCUUGCCCUCUUCCCAAGUCCCUUACCAUGACCCCUGCCCACAACACUCCAUAAGCCCUUCCUCCUUCCUCUCUGCAUCCCCAUGACUUGCCUAUUACAACACGGGCAGUGUCUCUCUGACACUGACCCUUUAAGCCUCUGUUUUGACUCUUGCCGCAUAUUCUCAACCCUCCACUUUUUCUUUUUUUGAGAUGGAGUUUUGCUCUUAUUGCCCAGGCUGGAGUGCAGUGGCACGAUCUCGACUCACUGCAAUCUCCGCCUCCCAGGUUCAAGCGAUUCUCUUGCCUCAGUCUCCCGAGUAGCUGGGAUUACAGGCAUGUGCCACCACGCCCGGCUAAUUUUGUAUUUUUAGUAGAGACAGGGUUUCUUCAUGUUGGUCAGGCUGGUCUCGAACUCCCGA
rnacentral:lncRNA from 1 species